rnacentral:rRNA from 1 species
AUUGAACGCUGGCGGCAGGCCUAACACAUGCAAGUCGAGCGGAUGAAGGGAGCUUGCUCCUGGAUUCAGCGGCGGACGGGUGAGUAAUGCCUAGGAAUCUGCCUGGUAGUGGGGGAUAACGUCCGGAAACGGGCGCUAAUACCGCAUACGUCCUGAUGGAGAAAGUGGGGGAUCUUCGGACCUCACGCUAUCUGAUGAGCCUAGGUCGGAUUAGCUAGUUGGUGGGGUAAAGGCCUACCAAGGCGACGAUCCGUAACUGGUCUGAGAGGAUGAUCAGUCACACUGGAACUGAGACACGGUCCAGACUCCUACGGGAGGCAGCAGUGGGGAAUAUUGGACAAUGGGCGAAAGCCUGAUCCAGCCAUGCCGCGUGUGUGAAGAAGGUCUUCGGAUUGUAAAGCACUUUAAGUUGGGAGGAAGGGCAGUAAGUUAAUACCUUGCUGUUUUGACGUUACCAACAGAAUAAGCACCGGCUAACUUCGUG